AGUAACACGUGGGUAACCUGCCUUAUAGUGGGGGAGUAGCCUUUCGAAAGGAAGAUAAUACCGCAUAAGAUUGUAGUAUCGCAUGAUAUAGCAAUUAAAGGAGCAAUUCGCUAUAAGAUGGACCCGCGUCGCAUUAGCUAGUUGGUGAGGUAAUGGCUCACCAAGGCGACGAUGCGUAGCCGACCUGAGAGGGUGAACGGCCACAUUGGGACUGAGACACGGCCCAGACUCCUACGGGAGGCAGCAUG
rnacentral:rRNA from 1 species